rnacentral:rRNA from 1 species
AAAUAAAAUUUUAUUGAUAUUAAUUAUUUUAUAUUAUUUACUUAAAGUAUUCUUAUUUAAUUAAUUUAUUGAAAAAAUUAUAUUAAUAAUAGUUGAUUUGUAUUGUGAAAGAAUAUUAUUAUUUUAUUUUAAAGAAUAAUUUAUUUUUAGUACCUUGUGUAUCAGGGCCAAUUAAAAUAUUUAUAUAAAUAUAUAGAUCUCGAAUUUAAAAGAGCUAAAAUUUUAUUUUUUAAAUGUUUCAUAAUUUUUUAUAAUAUAAUUUUAGUAAUGAAAUGUUAUUCGUUUUUUAAUAUAUCUAGUUUUUUGAGAAAUAAAUUUAAUUUAUUUAUUUUUAAAAUUUCAUUAAAUUAUUAAUUAUAUUUUGAGAAUAUAAAAUUUUCUUGGGGAAAAGCUUGGGAGAAUAUUAUUUAUUUAGAAAAAGUUUCAAUAAAUAUAUGUGAGUAGGAUUAUAAUUUUCCGCCUAUUUUAAAACGUUAUAGUUUUCUUAUUGUAGUUUAUUAUUUUUAUAUUUAAUAAAUUUUUUAUCAAAAUUAUUAGUAAAAUUUUUAUACUUAAUAAAUAAUGAUUGGAUUAGUAUAUUUUUAUGUAAUUUUAAAUUUUUUUAAAAGAUUUAAAUAAUGAAUUCGGCAAUUUUAUUUUUCACCUGUUUAUUAAAAACAUGUCCUUUUGAUAAUAAUUUAAGGUCGUGCCUGCUCAAUGAAAUAUUUAAUAGCUGCAGUAUUUUGACUGUACUAAGGUAGCAUAAUCAUUAGUUUCUUAAUUGGGGACUGGAAUGAAGGGUUUGAUGAGAAAAUAACUGUCUCUUUUAUAAAAAUAAAAAUUUAUUUUUAAGUAAAAAAGCUUAAAUAUAAUUAAAAGACGAGAAGACCCUAUAGAGUUUAAUAGUUAAUUAAUUUUUACUAAUGAAGUAUUUAAAUUUAUUUUAAUUAAUAAAAUUAUUUGAUUGGGGUGAUUAAAAAAUAGGAAAAACUUUUUUUUAUUAAGACUUUAAUUUAAGGUUAAUUUGAUCCAUAAAAUUAUGAUUAAAAGAUAAAAUUACCUUAGGGAUAACAGCGUAAUCUUUUUUUAGAGUUCUAAUCGAUAGAAAGGAUUGCGACCUCGAUGUUGGAUUAAAAUUAACUUUUAGGCGCAAAAGCUAAAUAGUUGGGUCUGUUCGACUUUUAAAAUUUUACAUGAUCUGAGUUUAAACCGGCGUGAGCCAGGUUGGUUUCUAUCUUUAAUAAGACCAUAAAUUUUAGUACGAAAGGACCAAAUUUAUAAUUUAAAAUUUUAUUUUGAAUAUUAA